rnacentral:rRNA from 1 species
AUUGAACGCUGGCGGCAGGCCUAACACAUGCAAGUCGAGCGGAUGAAGUGAGCUUGCUCCUGGAUUCAGCGGCGGACGGGUGAGUAAUGCCUAGGAAUCUGCCUGGUAGUGGGGGAUAACGUCCGGAAACGGGCGCUAAUUCCGCAUACGUCCCGAGGGAGAAAGUGGGGGAUCUUCGGACCUCACGCUCUCAGAUGAGCCUAGGUCGGAUUAGCUAGUUGGUGGGGUAAAGGCCUACCAAGGCGACGAUCCGUAACUGGUCUGAGAGGAUGAUCAGUCACACUGGAACUGAGACACGGUCCAGACUCCUACGGGAGGCAGCAGUGGGGAAUAUUGGACAAUGGGCGAAAGCCUGAUCCAGCCAUGCCGCGUGUGUGAAGAAGGUCUUCGGAUUGUAAAGCACUUUAAGUUGGGAGGAAGGGCAGUAAGUUAAUACCUUGCUGUUUUGACGUUACCAACAGAAUAAGCACCGGCUAACUUCGUG